GAUGAACGCCGGCGGCGUGCCUAAUACAUGCAAGUCGAGCGAACGGACGAGAAGCUUGCUUCUCUGAUGUUAGCGGCGGACGGGUGAGUAACACGUGGAUAACCUACCUAUAAGACUGGGAUAACUUCGGGAAACCGGAGCUAAUACCGGAUAAUAUUUUGAACCGCAUGGUUCAAAAGUGAAAGACGGUCUUGCUGUCACUUAUAGAUGGAUCCGCGCUGCAUUAGCUAGUUGGUAAGGUAACGGCUUACCAAGGCAACGAUGCAUAGCCGACCUGAGAGGGUGAUCGGCCACACUGGAACUGAGACACGGUCCAGACUCCUACGGGAGGCAGCAGUAGGGAAUCUUCCGCAAUGGGCGAAAGCCUGACGGAGCAACGCCGCGUGAGUGAUGAAGGUCUUCGGAUCGUAAAACUCUGUUAUUAGGGAAGAACAUAUGUGUAAGUAACUGUGCAUAUCUUGACGGUACCUAAUCAGAAAGCCACGGCUAACUACGUG
rnacentral:rRNA from 1 species